AUCAAGAAUGGUCCACCAACCAAAGGACAUCCAGUCAACUUGACACAACUGUAAGAAGCAUUGGAGUCAUUAAUGGUUCUAAGUUGUGUAUCCCCACAAGGUCUUAAUCUCGUCCCUAAUGCAGGCGGGAAAUGUGGCGGGAGAGUUUGGUGUUACGGCUUUCCGACUUUAAUGACUUGCAGUUGGAGGAGCCCUCUGGAGCAUCGCCACUUUAAGUCAUGAGGAUGGGGGGGAUUUAUCUGACUGUGACUGUCACAUGGGAGCACAUGGGAGCACCAUGCUGGGCCUUACUGUAUGAGUAGAGAGUAGAGUAGGACCGGAGUUAGAAAUUAAAAGAUUUUCUAGAUUAGAAACUGUAUUGUCCAUUAAAGGUAAAAAUAUAAUUACUCAUUAACAAAAUAGUGUGUAGCCCACAUAGCAUUACAGUAAAAUUACACACCAAAAGAGUCAGCGGUAAAGGAACAUACGACAAAUCAGGGUAGUGUUCAACAGUAGUAUUUCAGACAGCCAGAUGAUGCCAUAUUGUCCCUGCCUGCUCUUUGACUAUGCAGUGCAUUCCAGGUGAAAGUUUUCCAUAAACACAGACCUAGGGUCAGUUUACUCUCCCCAGAUCCUAGUCUGAACCAUCUGGAGUAAACAAAGCAAUACUGACCACAGAUCAUGACAUCAUCGUCCCUCUCACAUCAGCCCCUUGGGAGGCACACACACACACACACACUUAAGGUAAAAUCUCCCUCCGUUUUAUUCUGUUACCAAAUGUUGUAUCUGCACCGCUCUUCCUGUAAAUGUAAUUUUGUCAAAUGUUCUGUGGAAAUUGUUAAAAGAGUUGUAUGUUUUGUGAAACUUUGAAAUCAGUGUUUUUUAUUUGGUGUACAUUUAAAGUGAAACAUUUUAGUCCUAGCGUAAUUCUGUCACCAUGGAAUUGCCCAUAUGCUACUGCCCAGUCACAGAAAAACUAGAUUAAAACACUGGCUCUAUGAAAAUCA